CUUGACUAAUUAUAAGAGGUUUAGCCUGCCCAGUGACACAUGUUCAACGGCCGCGGUAUCCUAACCGUGCGAAGGUAGCGUAAUCACUUGUUCUUUAAAUGAGGACUAGUAUGAACGGCACCACGAAGGUUAUACUGUCUCCUUUCUCUAAUCAGUAAAACUAAUCUCCCCGUGAAGAAGCGAGGAUAAAUUUAUAAGACGAGAAGACCCUAUGGAGCUUUAAACUAACCAGCAUUUGCUAUAUACAAAAUUUUUAACAACUUUAAAGAUAAUUUAGCCCUCUGACUGGUAGUUUUCGAUUGGGGUGAUCACGGAACAAAAAUAACCUCCGUGUCGAAAGGACUUACCUGAGCAAAAAGCGACAGCUUUCCGCACUAAAAAAAUUAACGCUUAUUGACCCAAUAUUUUGAUCAACGAAC
rnacentral:rRNA from 1 species